GGGCGCGGGCGGAGCGCGGCGCACGGGGCGGUCGCGGGGCGCGGCGCGGCGCUGCCGGGCGGCGGCCAGUCGAGGCGGCGCGGCAGGGACGAAACCGCUGGAGCCGGCAACUUGGUUCGGCGGGGACUGAAGCCAAUCGAUGCCACUUGCCAUGGAUGCCUUCGUCCGCCGUCCAGCGUCAAGAGCCGCUGGGGGGCGUUGUUGUGCGUCUCGCGCUGAGGUCGCUACGCCGCCGCAUCGCGAGGAUGCAUGCCAUGGUUGCCAGCGCCGCCACCGGGAGGUCGAGGAUGCGGGCACCGCGCGCUAAGCGCGUGCGGUUGUUUCCAUCGCAGCCGCUCGCCCGUGGGCCGUGGCACGUCUUGCCAUACACCGGCUGGUGCCUCGCUGCAGAGCAGCGGCCACGGGCGCCGCCAUGCUCCUUGAGGGGCGUCUCCAUGUAGGUUGUGAACGGCGCCUCCGGCCGCUGCGGGCUGGAGCGCUGGGCCUCUGCCACCGGUGAUGCAGCCGUGCGGUAGAUCACCGUUGGCACCAUCGGCCGCAACCAGCGUCUCCGCUGCCUUGUGCCGUCAUGCGAGCAGCGAGCGGCUCGAUGGUACUUUCUUUUCUCCUCCUUUACGCACUCAGAUGAGAGCAAUUUGCUUGUGUGCGUAGGCGUACAGCCUUCUUGCCAUUGACGGGAAGUUGCCGAUCGGAUCGCCACGUUUAGCACCAUGGUGGUGGCAUGGAUCGGGUGGCGGCGGGCUGCACGCCGAACGGAGAUCUGGAUCGUCCGCAUCCACCACCCCAAUCCGCGAGGGCUGUCAUCCGAGAACGACUCCAUCGCGCGUAGCCGCUGUUGCUCUCUCGGCAGAGCGUGCUGAUAACGUGUUAGAAUAGACGAGAAAGACGGGAGACACAGAAGUAAAAUAAAUCCUUGUCGUCAUUGAUGAUGGGUUACACAUAUAUAUAACCCCCGAAGGGGUGUCUCGGAAGGGACACGAGGCAA